GACGAACGCUGGCGGUAUGCUUAACACAUGCAAGUCGAACGAGAAGUCUUUUAUUGAACCUUCGGGGGAUAUAAGAGACAGACAGUGGCGGACGGGUGAGUAACGCGUAAAGAACUUGCCUCACAGCUAGGGACAACAUUUGGAAACGAAUGCUAAUACCUAAUAUUAUGAUAAUAGGGCAUCCUAUAAUUAUGAAAGCUAUAAGCGCUGUGAGAGAGCUUUGCGUCCCAUUAGCUAGUUGGAGAGGUAACGGCUCACCAAGGCGAUGAUGGGUAGCCGGCCUGAGAGGGUGAUCGGCCACAAGGGGACUGAGACACGGCCCUUACUCCUACGGGAGGCAGCAGUGGGGAAUAUUGGACAAUGGACCGAGAGUCUGAUGCAGCAACGCCGCGUGAACGAUGAAGGUCUUCGGAUCGUAAAGUUCUGUUGCAGGGGAAGAUAAUGACGGUACCCUGUGAGGAAGCCCCGGCUAACUACGUGCCAGCAGCCGCGGUAAUACGUAGGGGGCUAGCGUUAUCCGGAUUUACUGGGCGUAAAGGGUGCGUAGGUGGUCCUUCAAGUCGGUGGUUAAAGGCUACGGCUCAACCGUAGUAAGCCGCCGAAACUGGAGGACUUGAGUGCAGGAGAGGAAAGUGGAAUUCCCAGUGUAGCGGUGAAAUGCGUAUAUAUUGGGAGGAACACCAGUAGCGAAGGCGGCUUUCUGGACUGCAACUGACACUGAGGCACGAAAGCGUGGGUAGCAAACAGG
rnacentral:rRNA from 1 species